UACGAGGGGGGCGAGCGUUGUUCGGAAUUACUGGGCGUAAAGCGUGCGCAGGCGGUUAUGCAAGACAGAUGUGAAAUCCCCGGGCUCAACCUGGGAACUGCAUUUGUGACUGCAUGGCUGGAGUGCGGCAGAGGGGGAUGGAAUUCCGCGUGUAGCAGUGAAAUGCGUAGAUAUGCGGAGGAACACCGAUGGCGAAGGCAAUCCCCUGGGCCUGCACUGACGCUCAUGCACGAAAGCGUGGGGAGCAAACAGG
rnacentral:rRNA from 1 species